ACACUUCAUAGCCCAGAUUGUUAACCGCUGGGCCCUGCAGGGAGUUUAGCUCUCUCUGGGAAUUGUCCUUCUGUUUUCAUUUAAGCCGACUCUAGUCCCUAAAGAAGACGAUACACAACACUUGAAGAAGACGGAAAGAACUCACAAAAGGUAGGCAGCAACUCCAAGGCCAAAGGGUCUCCCAGGUAUUGUGCUAACGGGACCACUGUAUGGAUUCCCACCUGAGUCUGGCAGAGACAGAGUGAGGGACUCAGGGGUGUGGAUAGGCUCAAGGAAAGUAUUUUUCAUGCCUCUUUAAACUGAGAUCUGAGAGCUACAAGUACCCUGUGCCAUGUCCUCUUUGCACAUGAGAUUCUCCCAAAUAAGAGUGGUGUGGGAAGCAGAAUGUUCUAGAUGCCUAGGAAGAAAGCUCAGAGAUGGGAACACCUGCUGGAACAGCAUGGAACAGAGUCACUUAGAGUUUGAAACAUGCCCCUUCUACUCCCCUCUGGGUCUUUCGUUUUCACAGUCCUCUCAAACAGCUCAGACCUUGGGCGUGACUUUGGGGGGAAUUUCCCAUUUGGCUGGCUUAUUGUUGGGUCUGUUUAAAAAAUCCAGGUUAAUGUGAGCUCCCCAGGGCUAGGGUAGCAACAAACAACAAAUAGAACAGGGUAACAGGAAAGAUAAGCUUUAUUUUCUCACUCUGAUAAGGCUUCAGAGAGCAGAUUUUUCUCUUGCAUGCAGGUCCCCUUGAUCUAGGAACAGAGCCAAGGCGAGGAGGCCUGGGGGUCUCAGCAAAGUGAGGAAGCCAUCACCCAUGAACCAGGAGGCCGAGAGCAGGAGGAGAGGGGAGAAGAAGGGUAAGAGCAAGGAAAGGGGUCGAUUCGAGGCUGGUCUUCGGCUGUGAUUCUUUGGUUCCGUGUAGCUCGGCAGGUCAGCUGCAGCCCCAGGAGCAAUGGCAGUAACUGGAGCACCCAGAGGACCUCUCCUCGCAGCAGCCGGGAAGCUGGGGCGGGCUCAGGUAGACGCUGGGAAACCGGUGAGAAACUGGAGACAGGCUGACUUCAAAGCCAGAAACACAGCAGCUGGGAACGCAGCAGGAGUCGGCCGGAGGCGGGGAUGGGGCUGGACAAGAAGCAGGAGCCUGAGGGGCCUGCGGGGCCUGAGGGAGGCACUUAGGUGGACAUUUGGGGAGGGACGUGGCAGAGAGCUGGCUCUUCUGCUGCUUUUGCUGGUAAGACAUCUUGGAGAAAGUCGGGUACCCUGAAAAACAGUGCAGAUAUUUUGAAAGUCCAAUUAAUACAAACCUUGCUUGUA